GACGUAGGUGGCGAGCGUUAUCCGGAAUUAUUGGGCGUAAAGGAUGCGUAGAUGGUGUAGUAAGUUAUCGGUGGUAAAUCGAGGCUCAACCUCGUGGAAGUCGGUAAUACUGCUAUGCUAGAGGAUAGGAGAGGUUAACGGAACUCCCUGUGGAGCGGUGAAAUGCGUAGAUAUAGGGAAGAACACCAAUCAGGCGAAGGCAGUUAACUAUUCUAUUCCUGACAUUGAGGCAUGAAAGCGUGGGGAGCAAAACGG
rnacentral:rRNA from 1 species